rnacentral:rRNA from 1 species
UACGUAGGGACCAAGCGUUGUUCGGAUUUACUGGGCGUAAAGGGCGCGUAGGCGGCGUGGUAAGUCACUUGUGAAAUCUCUGAGCUUAACUCAGAACGGCCAAGUGAUACUGCUGUGCUAGAGUGCAGAAGGGGCAAUCGGAAUUCUUGGUGUAGCGGUGAAAUGCGUAGAUAUUCGCAAGAACACCAGUGGCGAAGGCGGCUCACUGGCCCAUAACUGACGCUGAGGCACGAAAGCGUGGGGAGCAAACAGG